UGCAGCCUUGUCAAAUUCAGUGCAUCCUUCUCAGUGGGUGAUACUGGCCAAAAUGGCUGCAACAUUAAAAGUGUAGUUUGUGGGCCCCAUUGUGCUUCCACGUGGUCUAUGGGCAUAGGUAUGGACUACACACAAAC